rnacentral:rRNA from 1 species
UACAGAGGGGGCAAGCGUUGUUCGGAAUUACUGGGCGUAAAGGGCGCGUAGGCGGCCUGUUAAGUCGAACGUGAGAUCCCCAAGCUUAACUUGGGAACUGCGUCCGAUACUGGCAGGCUUGAAUUCGGGAGAGGGAUGUGGAAUUCCAGGUGUAGCGGUGAAAUGCGUAGAUAUCUGGAGGAACACCGGUGGCGAAGGCGGCAUCCUGGACCGAAAUUGACGCUGAUGCGCGAAAGCCAGGGGAGCAAACGGG